CACGUAGGGUGCGAGCGUUGUCCGGAAUUAUUGGGCGUAAAGAGCUCGUAGGCGGUGUGUCACGUCGGCCGUGAAAACCUGCAGCUUAACUGUGGGCGUGCGGUCGAUACGGGCAUCACUGGAGUUCGGCAGGGGAGACUGGAAUUCCUGGUGUAGCGGUGAAAUGCGCAGAUAUCAGGAGGAACACCGGUGGCGAAGGCGGGUCUCUGGGCCGAUACUGACGCUGAGGAGCGAAAGCGUGGGGAGCGAGCAGG
rnacentral:rRNA from 1 species